UUUCCGUAGGUGAACCUGCGGAAGGAUCAUUAUUAUAUAACCGAGCUGCGACUGCUGUCGCUGACCCUAAAGGUCGUUCACUCCCGAGUUCCCUCACACACAUCCAUCCCACCCCUAUAUUCACCACCGCGUAACUCCCUUUUUAGUUUGUUCGAAGGUCUGCUUACGUUUUCGCACAAACUUUCUAUGCACUAUAGAAUGUAUUUUUUUUUUUUGCGAUCACGCAGCCAAAACAACUUUCAACAACGGAUCUCUUUCCUCUCGCUACUACGAAGAACG
rnacentral:misc_RNA from 1 species